UGGGGAAUCUUGGACAAUGGGCGCAAGCCUGCUCCAGCCAUGCCGCGUGAGUGAUGAAGGCCCUCGGGUUGUAAAGCUCUUUCACCGGUGAAGAUAAUGACGGUAACCGGAGAAGAAGCCCCGGCUAACUUCGUGCCAGCAGCCGCGGUAAUACGACGGGGGCUAGCGUUGUUCGGAUUUACUGGGCGUAAAGCGGACGUAGGCGGACUUUUAAGUCAGGGGUAAAAUCCCGGGGCUCAACCCCGGAACUGGCUUUGAUACUGGAAGUCUUGAGUAUGGUGGAGGUGAGGGGAAUUCCGAGUGUAGAGGUGAGAUUCGUAGAUAUUCGGAGGAACACCAGUGGCGAAGGCGGCUCACUGGACCAUUACUGACGCUGAGGUGCGAAAGCGUGGGGAGCAAACAGG
rnacentral:rRNA from 1 species